GACUACCCAUUCAACCCUGGAAAAAAAUCUAAAUAAAUUGCAAAAGUCGGACUUUAAACAACGACUGGACGACAAAGUAAGAAUGUUCCGCCCCAAGCAUGUGCUCGAGUCAUUGUUUUUUGGCGGACCUUACAAGCGACGGACACAUUGAUACAGAUGAGCAGUAACAAUGGUAGAAAUCCCAACAUGUAAGCUUCAUCACCAAACUUGGUCAAACAUUUACUGGAUACAAGAGGUCUGGUAAGGUCCAAAAGCGACCACUCCGCUGGAUGGCAAAAUAAAACAGCUUUGCCAUUUGCCAGUUUUUCGGCCUAACUGUCACAACCCCUGUGCAUCCCAAUGUGCAUUCAUCUGUGCGCUGCGCUGAGCGCACCUCCAAACGCGCACCACUCCGGCUGCAGCAGGCGGCUGCAAUCAAUCUGCAAUCAGUCAGCACUCAACACACAUGUCGCUAAUGAGCUCCCUGGGCUUCUUAAGCCAAAGCAGACCUGCGUUCAGGGCCAGAACGUAGUUACCUGUUCCGUACAUCCUUCUUCGCUCCCCGGAUUCAAGCUGUGUGUCUUGUCUCCCUGGAUUCCCUCUGUUCUCCUUGCUGCCUUCCUGGAUCUCGACCUCUCGCCUGGACACAAACUCUGACGCCUCACUCCUGCCCUUGACCUCACACCUGCUCACGGACUUUCGAGCUUGCCUUGCCCUUCCUGGACUUCCGCCUGUCACUCAACACGCACCUUCAAUGACUCCCGGUAACACUCAACAUAGACUCACUUCACAUAGUCGCACACCAUACACAAUAGAGCUAAACGACGUCAUGCAUUCUGUGCCGUCUUCUUCCUCCGCUGUACCAUAACACUAUCGAAAUGUUUCUGAAUAUCAUUCCAUGACAUGUCUUUUUCUAAAUUGUUUUUUUCUAAAAUGCAUUCCUAGAAUGAUGUUCAUUUAUUUUACCAUAAAACUUUUUACCAUUUA